rnacentral:ncRNA from 1 species
GGGUACCGCUCCCAAAACCUCAGAGCCGCGCUCGGUACAAGCGCCAGGUUCG